UACGUAGGGCGCAAGCGUUGUCCGGAAUUAUUGGGCGUAAAGAGCUCGUAGGCGGUUUGUCGCGUCUGCUGUGAAAACCCGAGGCUCAACCUCGGGCCUGCAGUGGGUACGGGCAGACUAGAGUGCGGUAGGGGAGAUUGGAAUUCCUGGUGUAGCGGUGGAAUGCGCAGAUAUCAGGAGGAACACCAAUGGCGAAGGCAGAUCUCUGGGCCGUAACUGACGCUGAGGAGCGAAAGCAUGGAGAGCGAACAGG
rnacentral:rRNA from 1 species